UACAGGGGGGGCAAGCGUUGUUCGGAAUUACUGGACGUAAAGGGCUCGUAGGCGGCCAACUAAGUCACACGUGAAAUCCCCAGGCUUAACCUGGGAACUGCGUGUGAUACUGGAUGGCUUGAAUUCGGGAGAGGGAUGCAGAAUUCCAGGUGUAGCGGUGAAAUGCGUAGAUAUCUGGAGGAAUACCGGUGGCGAAGGCGGCAUCCUGGACCGACAUUGACGCUGAGGAGCGAAAGCUAGGGGAGCAAACGGG
rnacentral:rRNA from 1 species